UUGUUUAAGUCGCUGAAACAAUAUUGUACGGGGGAACCAACGAUGGAUUUUAUAUAUAAAUCCAAGGGGUGAAUCCUUUAGGUAGGGAUAUUCAAUGUCCCGAAUCCGCCAGCUAACCUCGUAAGCGUUAUUGAAAGGGAAG
rnacentral:sRNA from 2 species